AUGUAAAAAGUUUGGUUGAUUUAAAUUAAAAGUAAGUCUUGUUAGUGUAAAGUAAAUACAUUUCUGUAAAUUAAAUUAAAAAUAUUGGUUUCCAUUGUCACGUGACUUCUAACGUCAUCCGUGGUCGUGCGUGUCGACGUUCAGCUUUCCGCCAUCUUGUUAUACCGCAUGGAUGAACUCGGCGUGGUAAAACGGGAAUCAAGAAAAUUGGAUGGGGUACAGCUGAACAACAAUUAUGACAGGUUUUGAAUAAACCAGUCACAUGAAAAACAUUAAUGCCGAAUUUUUGCGCAUCACGACCCUACAUUUACAAUCGAGAAUUAUGGCCUCUUUGGACAGACAGAGCUCUUAGCUUCUCCAGGUUAUUAGGAGCAAAGGUGGAGUCCUCCAUGAAAAAACGUUCAAGUUAUGGAUCAGAGUCUGGACAUAUGCAUCAGAAUAGAUCAUGUACCUUGGUGAAGAUGCAAGCUGUCUGAUCAAAGAAUACCAGGCUGACCAGAGGGAGGUAGCGGAGAGAGAAUUUGAAAAGACCACCAUGGCAUUUUUUGUAAUCCGUGAAAGUGAUGCUCUUAGUUGUGCACUGGACAUUUCCAUUGUCACUGACGGUGUGGAAGUACUAAAUGAGUUGCUCUCUGUUGCAUGUGCUUGUGCCAUAAUGUUUGGACACAUUUAUGCACUGAACUUAAAAUAUCCUGAAGGACUCAAAUAUACCUUUGAGGCCUUUCAAAAAUAAUCAUGGACAUAGAGAGUAAGCAGAUGAGCCGAAGGGUGCAGAACCUCUCUUCAAAGCUGCAGGAGUACAUUUGUUUCCUUUGACCCAGCUACAGUGUUCUGCUGAUGGUAAAUUUCUUUGAAGAUGUUGGACUGUAUAAAGCCUUUUAUACAAAGUUAACUGUACUACUGUUUACUAAACCUGAUUUGUUUUAUCUAUAAGUUGUGUUAUCUAGGGUUUGUUAAAUAGUUUACCCAAAAAUGAAAAUUCUUUCUUUGUUUACUCAUCCUUAAGCUAUUCAAGUAUUUAACUUUAAUUAAAUUUGGUUCAGAGACAUUUUAUGACAAUUUUGAUAAGUUUGAGAUAAUUGAGAUAAGUUUCAUUUUGGGGUAAACUAUUCCAUGAAGGUGAAAAUAAUUUUUUGUAAUUUAUUUUUUUAUUUUUACCAUUGGCUAAUUUGGUAGGUAUUUUAUUAAAAGUGUUUGGUUUUACACUGCCCAUUUUAAACCAGUUUUCUAAGUGACUGUUCAUGGAAAGAUUGCAUGUUUCUCGUUGAAACGAUAACUGAUUCUUAUGGUGAAUCUACAUUUUAUCCAGUGUGUCUAUGUAUAUGGAUACUAAAAACUGUUAUACAGUAUGUUUUUAUAACAAUACUAUACACAUGGUAGAGAUUAUGAUAAAAAUUGUCAAGUUUAUGAUGUUUAUAUUGUUUAUUGGUAUGAGGAUACUGUACACAUUGUACAAAAAAUUGUAUUAUGAGAAAAUAAAUUGUCAGAAGUUUGA